UACGUAGAAGGGCAAGUCUAGAGCGAUGGAACUCGGCGUACAGCGCGUCAAAGCGUAAUGGUGAACCACAAUUCCAGGGCAACACUAGGAUUAUCGGUCAAAUGAGAAUAUGCCUGGUGGAAAGCCGAAGGCGAAGGCACCUGCACAGUGGUCACUUACUUUACCUAUAGGUAAAGUAGCACUGAAGCUCAAACGCGGAAGCUUGGGGAUCAAACCGG
rnacentral:rRNA from 1 species